UUUGACUUUAGCAUCCUCCUUGAUCCUCCACAUCAUCAGCUCCAUACAGGCAGUGGCGUCUUCACUGGAGUCGUGUCCGUCCACUGGGAUCAGAGAAGAACAGGACAUUAGUAUAGAAUGGAACACAAGAGAACCAGGAUAGAAGACAUUUAACGUCAUACACGUGAGAAUGAAACCAGCUUUGAAAACACUGCAGAUGACUGACAUCUACUGGAGACAUGACCACAGUGCAGUUGUCUCGAUGCCAGGUGGACGAAGAAUGGCUCACCGCGUGUUGUAGUCAACGACCUUCUUCUCAGGUUUGACAAAAGUGUCGUAGAUGACUUUCAUCCUUGAGUCGAUGACCGUCACUCUGGUCAGCUCUAGGC